rnacentral:lncRNA from 1 species
GCAGAAGAACAGAGGCAAUGAAGGUGUGACAAGACUAAGACUGAGAUGGAGAAAGACAGAACCAGAGUUUCGGGGCUCUUCAGGACACCACAUCCCCAUGACCCUGCAGAAGAAACUGGAAAAACACCACUUCAACCUGUGCUUGGAUACAAGAUACCGAUUACAUAAAGCAUGCAUGUUGAUGGCACGACAUCAGCGCAUUGACAGACAGUUUCUCCUAGACAACGUGCCUCCUGCACAUCAAACUGAUGACUGUCUUCUGGUCAAGAACACGUUCAGCUGGGAGUCUGACCAGUUGCAGCAUGUUACUGGCAGGAGGCACCGCUCGAGUGGGUUCCUGUGUCCAACUCACACCGCAGUGCCGGAGCACCGACCUGUACAUACUGCACGGCCACAACGCCCCUCUCCAUUCUUACUGUCAGAACUCUUCUGGUCUGCAGUUGUGUCUAUGUUCUGUAGCAAAUGACUUUCACCUCUGGCAUAGUUCUGCACGUCUGGGUCAAUAGACUGCGCUGCCUUGACAGACAAUGAGGGACCUUUGUCCUGGCUGUGGCAGCACAUGAGAUCUCAUUCAGGUGCUGCUUCCCACCCUCGGUGCCCCCACCAUGCUGUGUGCUGCUUGCUGUUGGGGGAACAUCUUGAGCCCUGCCAUAGGCCCUCAAAAGAGGAACUACAGACACAUAAUGAUGUCUCGUAGUGUGGAAGUGCAUCCUGCGUGCCAGGCAGCGUCAGCAAAGGCACUGUCCCCUUAUCUCUGUUAUGUAACCACAGUCAAAACGGAGGUGAGUUUGUGAACCUGAUGCGGCUGGCUGCAGUUACGGCACUUCUCCAGGACAUGGGCAGAAGCUGCUUGCUGGGAAGAAAAAAAAAAACCACUUAAGUUUACAACUGACUUAUACUUUAGGGUCUUCUUCCAACUCUGAAGCAGAAACACGGACAAAGAUUUAAAAGGCCAUGGGCUGUUUCAUGGCACAAAAGUGUGGGUCCUGCGGCAAACACCAUAGCCACAGGAUGGAGGAACACACAAGCCUCUUACACGAGCCUGCCGCAGAAGGGAAAGUUGCCCAAAGCUUGCUUCAGCAUGAAUGUGGCUUCUCUUCCAUGGCGUGUGCCACACCUCUUGGCAAGGUGGAGGUUUGAGAAGGAAAGAUUCCUUUCUCCUGAGGUAACAGGAGUACAACUGAAAGAAAAAAGGUGGCAGCAGGGAGAAUGCCGCGUCCGCAAAACAGAAUGCAGAGGAUGGGGUGGCAGCUUCUGUGGGGCCUGCUCGUCAUUUCCAGCUGUCUCCAGCCUCUGCCUCUCUGCCACGGUUCCUUUUGUUAAAUCAAUGAACCUUGCAUUAGCUGGGUGAGGAUAUUUUUGCUGUCUGCCACAUGGCUGUGGAUGCACCAUCUCGUUGCUGAGUGGCACGGGCAUCCAGACAUCCGGGCCUGCUGCUGUCCCCAGAGUGCUCUGAAACAGGCAUUCACUUUGGGUUAUGUAGCAAACCUGAUCUGGAGAGGUAGAAGUUGCACUGUUAAAAUAUGCUUGUGCUCAUAAAGCCGGUCUAUAAGACAGUACCAACUCUCAGUCAUGAGCUGUGCAGAUUACCAUGUUGUUAGCACAUUCUCUAGGAAAUAUAGAGGACGAGUACAGUCAUUCAUAGAAGGGACUGCUUUGCUGAUCUGCAUACUGACAGAGCCCUAGGGUCUUUUGCAUCCAGACUAACGCUAGAUCCAAUGCUGAAACACAGCGGUACUACCUGUGGACACACACGUGACACAUCGGCACUACAGACAUCUGCUCGGAGCUCACAGCUGUGCUGGGGGGGGGGGAUUGGAAGAGGCUCAAACAACAGCCCGCUCUGGGCAGCCACGGCACAGGGAGCGCACGUGCUGCUCUCGGAGCCCUUCUGGAGCUGAGACCCAGCCUUGGGGGUUUAUGCAGCAUUUCGUGUGGUGACUUUGGGAUGGGGAGAGGCUUUCCCGGCGCCGUGCGUGCCUUCCUGAUGCCAAAGCAGAGCGAGCGGUUCCCUGCGCGGCAGUCGGGUUGCCAGCAAGCAGAGCAGACGCCGUCCCGUGCCUGUGUUCCUCCCAUUCAUUUAUUCGGGGAGAGGCGGGCAGUGGUCUGCGCGCAGCCGGGAGAGACGAGCGAGGAUUGUGCCGGAGCGCGUACGAGGAGCGCAGCGGGAGCGAGUACCCAAACAUGCGUGGUGCAGCCCUGCCCGCCUCGUAGUGCGGCGACGGAAUGAGUCAGAGCCUCUUUGGUCUGAAUGAAGUGGAAGGUACUCUCUACAAAGCAACUCGAGCAUACGCCAAGGAUCCGGAAAAAUAAAACUAAUUCAGAAAACGGGAGUGGGAUGCGG